rnacentral:lncRNA from 1 species
AACACGAUUCUUUAAAUAUUCAUUCAAUCAAAAUAAAAGAUCUAAAAUUUGCUCUAAAGAUUAAGUCACGAGGAAGGUCUAAGGCUACAGAGACAAAAACUGCAGUGGGUUUUUAUAAAUGGAAAAGAAAGUAUUUAUCUUAUACUGAUAAAAGUGCAGCCGGAAAAAUAAUUCUUUUGGGUGGUAUUCUCAUAAAGGGAAACGUUGAAGAUGUUACACAUGAAAUGCAAGCAGAUGUAGGCGAAUUUGAAUUAAAGCCUGGCAAUCGUCCUUCUGCAUUUUUAAAUGAUGGUGUUACAAGAGAUAUUUUAAAACUGUAUUUAACCAAAUUUGCCUGAAGAAAUCAAUUUUGCAACAACAAAAAAACUGGCUGUAUGGAGUUGUCCAUUCUAAUCAGCUAUGAGUAUUGAAAUUAAGCAAGGAGAUGAGUUUUCUGAGUUUGAAAAUGAAUUGAUUGCAUGGUCGAGUUUACAAAUGUUUUAUGGACUAAAUCUAACAGCAAAACUGUAACAUUAGCAAACAGGCUUGUGCUUGAGCUUGCGCAAUGGUUCUAAACCUAAAAGUUUAAAUUUAGAAAUGUGAUAUAUUUAUGAGCAGAAGGGAAAGGACUUCGUCCUAAUCAAAGUUUUUUAAUUGGGAAUAGCUGAAGACGAAAUGAUUAGACGUGAAGUAAGAAGAACUUUGCAUUCUGAUGUUAUAUUUUAUAUAUUUGAAAUAUGGAAAUAUAUACUUUUUUUUA